GACGAACGCUGGCGGCGUGCUUAACACAUGCAAGUCGAACGGAAAGGCCCUGCUUUUGUGGGGUGCUCGAGUGGCGAACGGGUGAGUAACACGUGAGUAACCUGCCCUUGACUUUGGGAUAACUUCAGGAAACUGGGGCUAAUACCGGAUAGGAGCUCCUGCUGCAUGGUGGGGGUUGGAAAGUUUCGGCGGUUGGGGAUGGACUCGCGGCUUAUCAGCUUGUUGGUGAGGUAGUGGCUUACCAAGGCUUUGACGGGUAGCCGGCCUGAGAGGGUGACCGGCCACAUUGGGACUGAGAUACGGCGCAGACUCCUACGGGAGGCAGCAGUGGGGAGUAUUGCACAAUGGGCGGAAGCCUGAUGCAGCAACGCCGCGUGCGGGAUGACGGCCUUCGGGUUGUAAACCGCUUUCGCCUGUGACGAAGCGUGAGUGACGGUAAUGGGUAAAGAAGCACCGGCUAACUACGUG
rnacentral:rRNA from 1 species